UGACGAUCAUCCUUCCUCAUCCAUCAUUCUCAUAAGUAGAGCGCAUCAUUUAAGCCAAGCAAGCAGUGCUCAAUACAAAUCCACCAUGAAGACCUUUCUCAUCCUUGCCCUCCUUGCUAUUGUAGCAACCACCGCCACAAUUGCAGUUAGAGUUCCAGUGCCACAAUUGCAGCCACAAAAUCCAUCUCAGCAACAACCACAAGAGCAAGUUCCAUUGGUACAACAACAGCAAUUUCCAGGGCAGCAACAACCAUUUCCACCACAACAGCCAUAUCCGCAGCCGCAACCAUUUCCAUCACAACAACCAUAUCUGCAGCUGCAACCAUUUCCGCAGCCGCAACUACCAUAUCCGCAGCCGCAACCAUUUCGACCACAACAACCAUAUCCACAACCGCAACCACAGUAUUCGCAACCACAACAACCAAUUUCACAGCAGCAGCAGCAGCAGCAACAACAACAACAACAACAACAACAACAACAACAACAACAACAACAACCGUUGAGCCAGGUCUGCUUCCAACAGCCUCAACAACAAUAUCCAUCAGGCCAGGGCUCCUUCCAGCCAUCUUAGCAAAACCCACAGGCCCAGGGCUCUGUCCAGCCUCAACAACUGCCCCAGUUUGAGGAAAUAAGGAACCUAGCGCUAGAGACGCUACCUGCAAUGUGCAAUGUCUAUAUCCCUCCAUAUUGCACCAUUGCUCCAGUUGGCAUCUUCGGUACUAACUGAGAAUAGAAUAACUCUAGUAGUAGAUAUAUGAUACACCGUUUUCUUAGUCCAUGGUUUGGUCGUUGUAGCGGUGAAAAAAUAAAGUGACAUGCACUAUCAUGUAAGAACCCGAA